rnacentral:lncRNA from 1 species
UAGUAUCUGUGGCAUCUUUUUGUAUAAAUCUGUUGAAACCGAUGGUGUUUUGGUGGCUUUCCGUAUUUAUCUAUAUUCGAAGAAAGAGCCCCGCACUCUACUUUCUGACGGUGCUUGUUCCAUGUGUUUUGCAAAAUAUUUUGGAGCUCCAUGUUUGCUUGUAGGUAAGUUGAUUCAAUUACAGAAGUGACAAAGGAGGAUAACUAAGAGGCAAGUUACCAAGGUUGCUCAGGUGAGACAAGGGGCACAUUUGUCCGACUACUGAAGGGUUGUUUUUUUUCUCUUGGACUGGAGAAUGGGCGCAUUAAACUGCAACCCCAACGGUGUAUAGAAUUGAGAAGUAAUAGGUGUGGCUACAUGCAUCUGAGUACAGGCAGGACCCGUAUGGGGACGUUUAUACUUGUGUCUAAACGAAGCCAUGGACAUCGAAAACCUGUAACUUUUC